rnacentral:rRNA from 1 species
UACGGAGGGUGCAAGCGUUAAUCGGAAUUACUGGGCGUAAAGCGUACGUAGGCGGCCCGUUAAGACAGGGGUGAAAUCCCUGGGCUCAACCUAGGAAUUGCGCUUGUGACUGGCGGGCUCGAGUACGGUAGAGGGGGGUGGAAUUCCUGGUGUAGCAGUGAAAUGCGUAGAUAUCGGGAGGAACACCAGUGGCGAAGGCGGCUUCCUGGUCCGUUCCUGACGCUCAUACACGAAAGCCAGGGGAGCAAACAGG